ensembl:lncRNA
CACCUUGGCAAAUGGAACCUUGCAGAUGCAAUUAAUUAAGGAUCUAAUGAUGGGACAAUUACCCUGGAUUAUCCAGGUGAGUCCAAUGUAAUCACCAGGAUCCUUAUAAGAGGAAGGUAGCUACUUCAAGGUCAGUGGCAGGAGAUGUGGGGAAAGAAGCAAGAGGUGGGAGUAACUGGAGGAAGGGGCCAUGAAAUAAACACUGCCCAAAGCCUCAAGAAGCUGACAUUGAGGGAACUAGUGGAAGUUUCAACAUACAGUGGAUCAUCUUCUCUGUGUGGUAGGUAGGAAUAAAAAGCAAGCAGUUCCUGGCCCGUGCGAGUCCAGUUAGGGGUGUCUGCCUAGCAGCAUGUUGGCACCAGCAUUGAAGGAAGUGAUGGGCUUCCGCUCCAGGCAGAGGGAUAUACAGACUAUAGACCGACAACAGUUGGAGCCACGACGCAGGCUGUCAGAAAUAUGUAGUAAUUGAAUACCUUACCAAACCCUUCUCAAAAAUUCUGUUGUGAAGGAAAAAAUGACGGAAGAAAUGCUGUAAGAAAUUGUCCCAUCAAUUCCCUUAGAUACUCUACAUGUUCUGUUUAAAUGAAGCCUGAACUAUACUUGGAAUCAUGACAUAUAUAACAUUAUAAUAAGCUGCUCUAUUGAAAUCCUUACCACAUAUUGCUAUAAAAGUGUGCUUGAAUAUUUUCCACAUAAUACAAAAUGUGCUUUUUGUGAGGGCCAAUGGGAUUAAUUUCUCCCAAGCCUAAAUGCCAGAUGGCAUUCUGUUCCCUGUGAGAAACAGAUGUUUUUAUAUUAUGGACACCAUAUAUCACAUAAUUGAUGUUUCUCUCUUUGAGUAAGCUACCAGGGUGCCCAAAACCAAAUUUAACCAUGGUUCAGCAAAAUAUCCAAGACCUUAUGAUAUGGGUGGAAAGUGCUAACCUCAAAUAGUGACUUUCUCUCCUACUCUUUUUGAUAUAUUGCUUUGCUUAUUUUUUUCUCUGGUGCUCAUGUUUCUUUCUAAGCAGCUUCAAGUCCCAUUGAAAAUUAGUGGGGUAUGAGUAGUUUCACAAUAAACAAAGGCAUUGUCUUAUUUAAAUGUUGACCAUAUGAAGCCAAAAUUUUCUCAACUUUGAAUGGUUUUCUAGCUAGAUGAAAGGUGAGGAUAUAAAUUCAGAAGUAUAAAUUUAAAAACAGUAACCAAGUAAACAGAAGAUGGCAUGGAAAUUAAAAACAAAAGUAGCUGUAAAAUCUGAUUUGCAGUUUGAGGCAUAUAUAUGUGAUCCCCAAAAAAAGAAGAGAGUGAGGAAGAAGCAGAAAACUGGGUUGUUACUUAAAAAUAGGAAGGAAGAGUCACGAUCGAAAGGAAGAGACCAGGGAAUUCUAGUGCCCAGCCUCCGAGAAGACCCAUUGAGGGGAGAAUGUCACUUGACUGAAUUAUUCCACAUCUUAUUUCCUGAAGCCAUGCUUGUGAUUGUCAACACUUCACCUAAAAGCCACCAGGCGUGAUGCUUCCAUUUGGACCAUAGGGAUGGGUGAUACACAAAGCAAGGUGGGCAACAGAAUUAAAGUUGUAAUUAGUGGGCUGACUGAAUUGUAUUAAGCACUUAAAAUGCCUGUUCCAAGACAGAUACGACAGGGUGGUGGAGUGGAAAGUCUCUCUACCAAACCCCCCCCGUGGUAAUGAGAAUGACUGUCUCUGACUCUUUCCUUCUCCCACCCAGAGCUACUCCUCUCCCAUCUUGGAAUGGGAGCCUUCGUAGAGAUGAGAGAGAUGUAGACUCCAGGCUCCAUCCCUGUAAAAUGACGUGCAACCAACUGGGUACCCCUUCAACCAUGGGAGUUUUAAAACAGAGUUGGAGAUAGAACAAGGGAAUUAUCCAAGGUUAAUCGUCUAUGCUUAACAAUGGAAGCAGUGUGGUCUCGUGGAAAAAAACCAAUUUUUUAGUCUGCUAAGAGUUGUAGUUUUCUCUUUUUUUGCCAAAGCAGAUUUGCUCUGAGCUAACAUCUGUUGCCAAUCUUCCCCUAUUUUUUGUUUGUGGGUCACCACCAUAGCAUGGCUGAUGAGUGGUAUAGGUUUGCACCUGGCAUCCAAAGCUGUGAACCAUGGCUGCCAAAGCAGAGGAUGCAGAACUUGACCACUACACCACUGGGCUGGCCCCCUGAUAAGAGUUUUUAUGGUGAUUCUGUCACUCCUUUUUGAAUGUCCUUGGUCACUUAACCUCUUUUGACUUCACUUCCACAUCCUUAGAGAAGGAUAAAUGAAAUGUGGAAAUCGUCAAGCAUACUAUCUAGCAGAGAAUAUGUCCAUAAGAAAAAAACAGAUCUUUCACUCUUUCUAACUCUAAUCCAUAAUUUUCCAGCUUACCAGAUUUCCUGAUU